rnacentral:rRNA from 1 species
UACGUAGGGUGCAAGCGUUGUCCGGAAUUAUUGGGCGUAAAGAGCUCGUAGGCGGUUUGUUGCGUCGGCUGUGAAAACCUGAGGCUCAACCUCAGGCCUGCAGUCGAUACGAGCAGACUAGAGUGUUGCAGGGGAGACUGGAAUUCCUGGUGUAGCGGUGAAAUGCGCAGAUAUCAGGAGGAACACCGGUGGCGAAGGCGGGUCUCUGGGCAACAACUGACGCUGAGGAGCGAAAGCCAGGGGAGCAAACAGG